AAGACAUUAGUAAAAUAAAUUAUAUCACCUUGUCAAGGUGAAGUCGCGGAAUAACACCCCCGCAUGUCUUA
rnacentral:tRNA from 2 species